rnacentral:rRNA from 1 species
GACGAACGCUGGCGGCGUGCCUAAUACAUGCAAGUAGAACGCUGAAGAGAGGAGCUUGCUCUUCUUGGAUGAGUUGCGAACGGGUGAGUAACGCGUAGGUAACCUGCCUUGUAGCGGGGGAUAACUAUUGGAAACGAUAGCUAAUACCGCAUAACAAUGGAUGACACAUGUCAUUUAUUUGAAAGGGGCAAUUGCUCCACUACAAGAUGGACCUGCGUUGUAUUAGCUAGUAGGUGAGGUAAUGGCUCACCUAGGCGACGAUACAUAGCCGACCUGGGAGGGUGAUCGGCCACGAUGGGACUGGGACACGGCCCAGACCCCUACGGGGGGCAGCAGUAGGGAAGCUUCGGCAAUGGGGGCAACCCUGACCGAGCAACGCCGCGGGAGUGAAGAAGGUUUUCGGAUCGUAAAGCUCUGUUGUAAGUCAAGAACGGGUGUGAGAGUGGAAAGUUCACACUGUGACGUUAGCUUACCAGAAAGGGACGGCUAACUACGUG